GUAGUACUCCUUCCGUCCUAAAUUACUUGUCGUAUAAAUGGAUAGAAAUGAAUGUAUCUAAAACAAAAAAUACAUCUAGAUACAUCCAUUUCUGCGACAAGUAAUUCCGGAUGGAGCGAGUAAUAU
rfam:Hordeum vulgare subsp. vulgare, WGS project CAJW01000000 data, contig: morex_contig_286357